rnacentral:rRNA from 1 species
UAACACGUAGGGGGCAAGCGUUGUCCGGAUUUAUUGGGCGUAAAGAGCUCGUAGGCGGCUCGGUAAGUCGGAUGUGAAAACUCGGGGCUCAACCCCGAGACGCCAUUCGAUACUGCCAUGGCUUGAGUCCGGUAGGGGAGCAGGGAAUACCUGGUGUAGCGGUGAAAUGCGCAGAUAUCAGGUGGAACACCGGUGGCGAAGGCGCUGCUCUGGGCCGGUACUGACGCUGAGGAGCGAAAGCGUGGGGAGCAAACAGGAUUAGAUACCCUGGUAGUCCACGCCGUAAACGUUGGGCACUAGGUGUGGGGGAUUAUCAACGUCCUCCGUGCCGUAGCUAACGCAUUAAGUGCCCCGCCUGGGGAGUACGGCCGCAAGGCUA